rnacentral:rRNA from 1 species
AGAGUUUGAUCCUGGCUCAGGAUGAACGCUGGCGGCGUGCUUAACACAUGCAAGUCGAACGGAGUAAGAGUGCUUGCACUCUUACUUAGUGGCGGACGGGUGAGUAACGCGUGGGUAACCUGCCCUAUGCAGGGGGAUAACGUUUGGAAACGAACGCUAAUACCGCAUAAUAAAGAAGGAUUGCAUGAUCUUUCUUUCAAAGAUUUAUCGGCGUAGGAUGGACCCGCGUUGGAUUAGCUAGUUGGUGAGAUAACAGCCCACCAAGGCGACGAUCCAUAGCCGGCCUGAGAGGGUGAACGGCCACAUUGGGACUGAGACACGGCCCAGACUCCUACGGGAGGCAGCAGUGGGGAAUAUUGCGCAAUGGGGGAAACCCUGACGCAGCAACGCCGCGUGAAGGAUGAAGGUCUUCGGAUUGUAAACUUCUUUGAUUGGGGACGAUAAUGACGGUACCCAAGGAACAAGCCACGGCUAACUACGUGCCAGCAGCCGCGGUAAUACGUAGGUGGCAAGCGUUGUCCGGAAUUACUGGGUGUAAAGGGCGUGUAGGCGGGGAAGCAAGUCAGAUGUGAAAUUCCGGGGCUCAACCCCGGCGCUGCAUCUGAAACUGUUUCUCUUGAGUGCUGGAGGAGAGGAAAGCGGAAUUCCUAGUGUAGCGGUGAAAUGCGUAGAUAUUAGGAGGAACACCAGUGGCGAAGGCGGCUUUCUGGACAGUAACUGACGCUGAGGCGCGAAAGCGUGGGGAGCGAACAGGAUUAGAUACCCUGGUAGUCCACGCCGUAAACGAUGGAUACUAGGUGUAGGAGGUAUCGACCCCUUCUGUGCCGGAGUUUAACACAAUAAGUAUCCCACCUGGGGAGUACGGCCGCAAGGUUGAAACUCAAAGGAAUUGACGGGGGCCCGCACAAGCAGUGGAGUAUGUGGUUUAAUUCGAAGCAACGCGAAGAACCUUACCAGGGCUUGACAUCCCUCUGACCGUCCUAGAGAUAGGACUUCUCUUCGGAGCAGAGGUGACAGGUGGUGCAUGGUUGUCGUCAGCUCGUGUCGUGAGAUGUUGGGUUAAGUCCCGCAACGAGCGCAACCCUUAUCUUUAGUAGCCAGCAUUAAGUUGGGCACUCUAGAAAGACUGCCAGGGAUAACCUGGAGGAAGGUGGGGAUGACGUCAAAUCAUCAUGCCCCUUAUGUUUAGGGCUACACACGUGCUACAAUGGCUGCUACAAUGGGAAGCGACCUAGUGAUAGUGAGCAAACCUCAAAAAAGCAGUCCCAGUUCGGAUUGUAGUCUGCAGCUCGACUACAUGAAGUUGGAAUCGCUAGUAAUCGCGAAUCAGAAUGUCGCGGUGAAUACGUUCCCGGGUCUUGUACACACCGCCCGUCACACCAUGGGAGUUGGAGGGGCCCAAUGCCGGUGACCUAACCGUAAGGAAGGAGCCGUCUAAGGCAAAACCAAUGACUGGGGUGAAGUCGUAACAAGGUAGCCGUAUCGGAAGGUGCGGCUGGAUCACCUCCUU